AGAGUUUGAUCAUGGCUCAGGAUGAACGCUGGCGGCGUGCCUAACACAUGCAAGUCGAACGUGAAGAUGCAGCAAUGUAUCUGAAAGUGGCGAACGGGUGAGUAACACGUAGGUGACCUACCCUGAAGUGGGGGAUAACCACUGGAAACGGUGGCUAAUACCGCAUAGGUCUGUGGGAAUGGGAAUUCCUGCAGGCAAAGCUUUAGUGCUUCAGGCGGGGCCUGCGUCCGAUUAGCUGGUUGGUGAGGUAAGAGCUCACCAAGGCGAUGAUCGGUAGCUGGUCUGAGAGGAUGAUCAGCCACACGGGAACUGAGACACGGUCCCGACUCCUACGGGGGGCAGCAGUGAGGAAUAUUGCACAAUGGGGGCAACCCUGAUGCAGCAACGCCGCGUGGAGGAUGAAGGUCUUUGGAUUGUAAACUCCUUUUCUGCGGGACGAGAGAGGACGGUACCGCAGGAAUAAGUC
rnacentral:rRNA from 1 species